rnacentral:lncRNA from 1 species
AUUGGAGAUGGAAAAAGAAGAAAUGAAAACUGAAAAUCUCUGCAGAAUGUUGGAAAACAUUAUUUCCAUUCCAGGGUGAGAAACUUGGAGAUUCACUUGCUCUCUAAGAAAUGCUCAUCCUUAAUGAUUAAUCUGUUACUUGCUUUAUGAAUACAGAAAGUCAGAGUGAAGAAAAACAUAAAAGAUCCUCCUUGUUCCAGCCCCAAUUUCAUCCCCCCUCAGCAAGUAUCUGCAUUAACCAUAGGAGACUGGAAGCCCAUAGAGAGCACAAAAAGGUAUUCCUCACAACAUUCUGGAGAAGUUGAAGACAGAGAACCGCCCCAGAUCCCCCACUGAGGGAUUCCUGCAGUAGAGAAGCAGGUCUCUGGGUGACAGGUGCAGUGCAGGGCUUGUCUUUUCUCCCCUGCAUGUGCAGAGCCUGGGGCAGAAGAUGGAGACCUCGAUGCCAUUGGUCUAAUCAUUUUCAAGUUAUAAAUCAGAUAGUAAAUCAUUAAAUAAAAAUAUGUAGUUAUUUUCUACCUUGAAAAAAAUGUGCUUUCAUAAUGACAAAAUGGAAAAAUAUGUGCUAAAGUUAUGACUUUCAGAUGACUGAAAGUUGGCAAAAUGUAUCAAAGAUGACUGAUUUGACUAUUUUCAUAAAUGGUUUGAUGUUCUGUUUAUGGGUCAAAGAUUUAUGAUUAUAUAAUAAUGACAUACAUAAUUUAUAAAUUAUCUUUUUUUAAUCCAUAUAUUUACUUUUUAUUGAAUUUGUUAAUGUUACAGAGUUCUCGCACUGCCAAACCAUGCCUGAGAAUCCAAAGAAGGAAAUGGUAUAAUGGACAGCCUCAUCAACCCAUCAUACAGUAUAUUAAAACUUGAUUCAUAUGCAUUUUGAGAAUUUCACAAUCUUUUAUAAAAUUAUAACAGGAGUUGGAGUUUAAGUCUGCCGAAGGUCUUCAAAAUUUCCAGUACAGUAUGCCAUUAAAUAAAACCGCCUCAUAUUCAUCUCAGUUCAUUCCUCAACAAUAUAACCCAACAAAAGUUUGUGGGAAAAACGCAUACUUUAAGGAAAAUAUGUGGCUCAGGGUCCAAGAGAUUACUUGUUAAGUUUUUUGGCUCCCAAAUCAUGUCUUCAGUAUAACCAAGAAUUUUAAAAUUCUCCUUUAAUCAUCCUACCUCCCCGCUAUUUAUUUUAUAAAGUUUCUUUUUUUCUUUCCUGAAUUUCACUAACUAUAUUGUUGUAACCAAAAUUUCACAUGAUUUGUUUUCUUGGCAGUAAUUAUCUAAAGGAGGGGUUGUAAACACGUCAGAGAAACAAAUACUAGAUACUUUAGGUUUUCCAAAUAUGUGACCUCUGCCACAACUGCUCAGUUCAACCAUUACAGUGCUUAGUUUUCUACAGACAGUAUGUAAACAAACAAGUGUGACUGUGUUCCAAUAAAACUUUAUUUACACACGCUGUACCCUGUUGACCCUGAUGUAAAGGGUUUACACAUAAAAUGAAGUUCCAAGGAGAUUCCAAGAUGGCGGAGGAGAGGAGAACCUGUUACUGGCUGCUCUGUGUGUGACUCUGAGGGAGAGGUAGGAUGUUUUCCCCCACGGGGGCUCCCAUUAACGAAUUUAAGCUUCUUGGGUCGUGUGACAGGAUUCUAAACAGCAGAUUGUUGCAAGUGAGCACAGAACGCAGGGAAAGCAGAGUUGCUCUUUGCCACUGAAGCAGGCCAGCAGUGCCUUGCUGGAGCCCAACGGCAGAGUUUGGGGGGCAGCUUUCUGGCAGCACGGAGAGGCAGGGUUAUUGCUGCUUCAGGGCUGAAGCACGCCAGACUGCGACCUCGUCAGCGCCGGAUGCCAGACCGAGGACCGAGUUCAGGACAUAGCAUAGGAACAGCCCAGCUCCUUCCACCUCACUGGACACCCCCCCGCGGGAAAGAGACGGUCUCCAUCUUGGAAAAUCUAUCUCGUCAACUUUUGGCGGGUGUGGCUGACAGCACGGAUGGGCAUCUGAACAGGUGUGUGGUUCCCAGCCCCCCCAUCCCCAGCUGUGAUAAUUCAAAACUGUUCUGGCCAGCUUUUGGUGGGCUUGGCCAUCAGAGCUGAGUGCAACUGAGAAGGUGCCUGGUCUCCAACUCCCCUCCCCCAGUUGUAAUAACCCAAAACCUUUCUCGCCAACUCUUGGUGGGUGUGGCUAUCAGAGGGAAUAGACAGAACAGGUUGCCGGUUUCCAACUCCCUCUCUCCCUAGCUGUGAUGACAUGGUGACCACCCAGCACAGAGAUAGCGCUCAGUUGAUCAGGAGCGCGAGGUGGCCAGGGCAUCACCCACCCAGAGUGAACCCAGGGCUGUGGACAAGAGAUCCAUCAAUUGGGGCCUGGUGGGCAAGAGAGGGGAGGGGGAUAGAGACUGGGAGAAACCCAGAGAGACUGGGAUUGGAGAGGCACCCGGAAGGUAAGGGAGAGCCGCCUCACAGGGUUGCUUCCACCACCCUGAGGGCAGAGACCCAACCUGGAAUGCACAAACCCACCUACUGGAAGAGAAGAAAACAGAAUUCUAAGAGUGAUUUUUUUUCCUUUUUUUCUCUUUUUUUUUCUUUUCCCUUCUUUCCUUUUUUCUUUUUAUCUAUUUCUUCUUUUUUCCUUUCCUUUUCUUUUCAUCCCUUUCUCUCAAUCUCUUUUCCCCCUUUUUUUCUUCUUUUUACUUUUCUUCCUCCUUCUCUUCCUCUUUCAACUUCCUAAGUGUUACUAUUUCUGCUACGUGUAAUUUACUAAAUGCAAAUAGAUGUUUGUUUCUAUGCUUCUUAUUGUCCUCCCAUGUACUUGUCUACCCUAAAAUACAUCCUGUCUAUUCCCCUGCUAAUAACCCCUUCAUUAAAAAAAGAGUUCUCCUCCAAAGUUGCUAAGAUAUAUUAAUUCCAUACCCUCACAUCUUUCCCCCUUAACAUAAUGUUCUACGUCCGACCCUCAGUUCUCUAUACGCCAUCAGAAACUGUAUGCCUUUUAUAAAACUAAUGACUAUAUUUUAAAUAAUAAACAUUUCUAGACAUAGAGACUAACUAUAAAUGUAUUAAUAACAAAAACUAGCUCAUAGAUGAUGUAUUGUUGAUAUUGGCAACUGUUAAUAUUGUCUUUCCCCACAAAGGAGAGAUCUCGGAACUAUACAAGAGCAAUAUAAAUCUAUAGGGAAAAAAUAAUAACACAACAGUCAUACAGAGCUGGAAAGAAAUGUGAGCAAAAUGAAAAGACAAAGAAAGAAAGGACCACAAACAAUGCAAGACAAUACAACUUUAGAAGAGGUAACAUCUACAGCAGAAAGAAUGUCAGAUAAAGAUUUCAAGAUAUACAUGGUCAGAUGUUCUGGAGUCUCAGGGAAGACAUUAGACAACAAAUGCAGACAAUGAAAGAUCACUUUUAUAAUGAAUAACAUAAACAAAUCCAAGAAGCAAAAGAUCAACUCUACAGUGAGAUAGAGUUUAUAUAUAUAUAUAUAUAUAUAUAUAUAUAUAUAUAUCCCCAGAAGUCCUAGAAAUGAAAGAAAUGAUAAACCAAAUUAAAAACUCAAAUGACAGUAUUACCAGCAGAGUAUACCACUUAGAAGAUAGGACAUCUGACAACGAAGACAAAGUAUGUCAUCUCAAAAAGUACUUAGACAGAACAGUGAGACUGAUAAGAAACCACGAGCAGAACAUCCAAGAAAUAUGGGAUAGCAUAAAUAGAUCAAAUUUAAGAGUUAUUGGGAUAGAAGAAGGUAUAGAGGUCCAAACCAAAGGAAUGAGCAAUCUAUUCAAUAAAAUAAUAUUAGAAAACUUUCCAGACAUGAAGAAUGAAAUGGAAAUCCAUAUCCUAGAAGCCUACAGGACGCCGAAAGUGCAAAAUCACAAAAAAUCCACACCAAGACACAUUAUAAUGAAAAUGCCCAACAUACAGAACAAGGAGAGAAUUUUAAAAGCCACAAGAGAAAGGAAGCAGAUUACAUUUAAGGGUAAACCAAUUAGGUUAACAGCUGAUCUUUCAACACAGUCUCUGAAAGCUAGAAGAUCCUGGAACAUCAUAUUUCAAAUGCUGAAAGAUAAUGAGUUUCAACCAAGAAUCUUGUAUCCAGCAAAAUUAAGCUUCAGGUUUGAAGAUGAAAUAAAAACCUUCCAUGAUAAACAAAAGUUAAAAGAAUUUGCAGCUAGAAAACUGGCACUUCAAAACAUCCUUGGCAAAACAUUUCAUGAAGAGGAAAUGAAAAAUAACAACGAAAACCAACAGUGGGAGGUAGUACAGUAAAGGAAAAACUAAUAAAAGAGGAAAAACAAAUCAUGUUAAAUAACAAAAAUAAACAAAUAUGGCUGGAAGUACAAACUAUAUCUCAAUAGUAACCCUAAAUGUUAAUGGCUUAAACUCACCUAUCAAAAGACACAGGCUAGUAGACUGGAUUUAAAAAAAGAUCCAACAACAUGCUGCCUACAGGAGAAUCAUCUGAUAGGAAAAACAUACACAGACUGAAGGUGAAAUGUUGGGAAAAAUCAUACCACUCACAUGGACCUCGGAAGCAAGUGGGGGUGACCAUACUCAUAUCAACUAAAAUAGACUUCAAGCCAAAGUCAAUCAAAAAGGAUAAAGAAGGACACUAUGUACUGCUCAAGGGAACCAUACACCCACAAGACAUAACAAUCAUUAAUAUUAAUAUUAAUAAAACAAUGGUGCAGCUAUGUUCAUCAAACAAACUCUUCUCAAGUUCAAGAGUCAAAUAGACCACAACACAAUAAUCAUGGGUGAUUUUAACACACCUCUCUCACCACUGGACAGAUAUUCCAAACAAAAAUUGAAUAAAGAAACUAUUGAACUCAAUAACACAACUAAUAACUUAGACUUAAUUGACAUAUAUAGAAUAUAUCAACCAACACUUUCUGUGGAUACACUUUCUUCUCAGCAGCACAUGGAUCCUUCUCAAAAAUAGACCAUAUAUUAUGCCACAAGGCAACCCUUAGCAAAUACAAAGGAGUAGAGAUACUACCGUGCAUUUUAUCUGUUCAUAAUGUAAUGAAAUUGGAAAUCAAUGAUAAAAUAAGGAAGAAAAAUUCCUACAUCACAUGGAUAAUGAACAAUAUGCUACUGAAUGAACAAUGGGUUACAGAAGACAUCAAGGAGGAAAUUAAAAAAUUCUUAGAGGUAAAUGAGAACACAGACACAAUAUAUUGAAAACUCCUGUGCCGUAGUCUGGCUGGGCACAAUUCAGGAGCCACUUGUCAAAAGAAACGAACUUUAUUUUUAGAACCACACACGCCAAACAAAACAGCUCCUCAGGAAAACCUUCAGAGCCCAAGUGCCACCACCGGCUUCCCACAAGCCUCUCCACUUCCCCCCACUCCUCCUGCUCUUGAGGCCGAUUGGCUGGGUCACGUGGGCGGAGCCAAAAAAAGUCCCCCAAUGAGCAGCUCCGUAGUGGAAACAGCCCAAUGAGCAUCACCGCAGAGGAGCCAAUCAGCUAGAAGUUGCUGGGGCCGCUGUGAGCCAAUCAUCAGCUGGCAGUCUGAAAGUUUGCUGGGUCCCCUUUGGCUGUGGCUCUCAACACUCCUGGACACUAUGAAAGCAGUACUAAGAGGAAAAUUCAUUGCAUGGAGUUCAUUCCUUCAAAGAAGAAAAAUCCAACAAAUAAAUAAACUCACACUACAUCUCAAAGCCCUAGAAAAAGAAGAACAAAUCAGCAGCAAAUGCAGUAGAAGGCAAGAAAUAAUUAAAAUCAGAGCUGAAAUCAAUGAAAUCGAAACAAAAGAAACUAUUGAAAAAAUUGACAAAACUAAAAGUUGGUUCUUUGAAAAAUAAAUAAGAUUGACAGGCGCCCUUAGCCAUGCUAACAUAGAGAAGAAGAGAGAGAACCCAAAUUACUAGCAUAUGUUAUGAAAAAGGAAAUAUCACAACAGACACUACAGAAAUACAGAAGAUAAUUAGAAAUUAUUUUGAAACCUUAUACUCUAAUAAAAUAGAAGAUAUUGAAGGUAUCAAUAAAUUCCUAAAGUCACAUGACCUGCCCAGAUUGAGUCAGGAGGAUAUACACACUUAAACAGACCAAUAUCAAGUGAGGAAAUAGAAGAAGCCAUCAAAAGGUUACCAACCAAGAAAAGCCUAGGACCAGAUGGAUAUACAGCUGAGUUUUACAAGACCUUUAAAGAAGAACUAAUACCAAUACUCUUCAAUCUAUUUCAGGAAAUAGAAAAAGAGGGAGAACUUCCAAAUUCAUUCUAUGAGGCCAAUAUCACCCUGAUUCCAAAGAUACAUCAAAGAAAGAAAACUUCAGACCAAUAUCUCUAAUGAAUAUAGAUGCAAAAUCCUCAAUAAAAUUCUGGCAAAUCGAAUUCAAAAACACAUCAAAAAGAUUGUGUACCAUAAUCAAGUGGAAUUCAACCCAGGGAUGCAAGGUUGGUUCAACAUAUGGAAAUCAAUAAAUGUAAAUCAUCACAUCAAUAGCCUUAAAGAUCAGAACCAUUCGAUCAUCUCAAUAGAUGCAGAAAAAGCACUUGACAAAAUACAGUACCCUUUCAUGUUCAAAACACUAGAAAAACUAGGGAUAACAGGAACAUAUCUCAACAUUGUAAAGGCUAUCUACGCUAAGCCUCAGGCCAACAUCAUUCUAAACAGAGAAAAACUGAAGGCAUUCCCUCUAAAAUCUGGAAUAAGACAGGGAUUCCCUCUCUCACCACUUCAAUUCAACAUAGUUCUUGAAACGCUGGCCAGAGCAAUUAGACAGAUGAAAGGAAUUAAAGGAAUAACUAUAGGAAAAGAAUAACUUAAUCUAGCACUAUUUGCUGAUGAUAUGAUUCUAUACCUAGAAUACCCAAAAAACUCCACCAGAAAACUUCUAGAACUAGUAAAUGAAUUCAGCAAAGUGGCAGGAUAUAAAAUCAACACCCAUAAAUCAAAGGCAUUUCUGUAUAUCAGUGACAAAUCCUCUGAAAAGGAAAUGAGGAAAACUAUCCCAUUCACAAUAUCCUCAAAAAAUAAAAUACUUGGGAAUCAGUUUAACAAAAGAGGUGAAAGAUCUAUAAAAUGAAAACUACAGAAUCGUAAAGAGAGAAAGAGAAGAAGACCUUAGAAUAUGGAAAGAUUUACCUUCUGCUCAUGAUAGGCAGAAUUAAUAUUAUUAAAAUGACCAUACUACCAAAAGUACUACACAGGUUCGAUGCAAUUCCGAUCAAAAUCCCAAUGGCAUUCCUCAUAGAAAUAGAAAAAGCAAUCAUGAAAUUCAUCUGGAAAAAUAAGAGACCCAGAAUAGCUAAAGCAAUUCUAAGCAGGAAGAGUGAAACAGGUGGUAUCGCUAUACCAGACCUUAAACUAUACUACAGAGCAAUAGUAACAAAAAUAGCAUGGUACUGGCACCAAAACAGGCUGGCAGACCAAUGGUACAGAAUAGAGGACACAGAGACUAACCCACAAAAUUACAACUAUCUUAUAUUAGACAAAGGUGCCAAAAGCAUGUACUGGAGAAAGGAUAGCAUCUUCAACAAAUGGUGCUGGGAAAACUGGAAAUCCAUAUGCAACAAAAUGAAAUUGAAUCCCUAUCUCUCACCAUGCACAAAAGUUAACUCAAAAUGGAUCAAGGAUCUAGGAAUUAAACUACAGACUCUGUGUCUAAUAGAAAAAAAAGUAGGUCCUAAUCUUCAUCACGUGGGGCUAAGCCCCAACUUCCUUAAUAAGAUGCCUAUAGAACAAGAAUUAAAACCAAGAAUCAACAGAUGGGAUGGAUUCAGACUAAAAAGUUUUUUUUUUUUUUCUCAGCAAAAGAAAUAAUCUGUGAGGUGAACAGGGAGCCUACAUCCUGGGAACAAAUUUUUACCCCUCACACAUCAGAUAGAGCACUAAUCUCUAGGGUAUAUAAAGAGCUCAACAAGAUAAGCACCAAAAUAACAAAUAAUCCAAUCAAGAAAUGGGCCAAAGACCUGAACAGACACUUUUCAGAAGAGGAUAUACAAUUAAUCAACAAAUAUAUGAAAAAAUGUUCAACAUCUCUAGCAAUCAGAGAAAAGAUCAAAACUACUUUAAGAUACCAUCUCACUCCAGUAAGAAUAGCAGCUAUUAUGAAGACAAACAGCAACAAGUGUUGGUGAGGAUGUGGGGAAAAAAGUACACUCAUACACUGCUGGUGGGACUGCAAAUUACUGCAGCUAAUUUGGAAAGCAGUAUGGAGAUUCCUUGAAAAGCUGGGAAUGGAUCCACCAUUUGACCCAGCUAUUCCUCUUCUCAGACUAUACCUAAAGGACCCAAAAACAGCAUACUACAGGGAAACAGCCAUAUCAAUGUUUAUAGCAGCACAAUUCACAAUAGCUAAACUGUGGAGCCAACCUAGAUGUCCUUCAGUGGAUGAAUGGAUAAAAAAAAGGUGUGGCAUUUAUACACAAGGGAAUAUUACUCAGCACUAAAAAAAGAAUAAGAUCAUGAUAUUUGCAGGGAAAUGGAUGGCAUUAGAGAAGAUUAUGCUAAGUGAAGUUAGCUAAUCCCCUCCUCCCCAAAACAAAUGCCGGAUGUUUUCUCUGAUAUAAGGGGGGUGACUCAAAGUGGGGUAGGGAGGGAGAGC